CAUCGAUCUUCACAAAUAAAAUAUUUUUUUACAAAAUUUUCGUACUAAAUACUAAUUUGUGGUGCUCUGUCACAUUUCUUCCACUAUUAUGUCUGUGUAAUCGGUAAAGUGUAACUUCUGCAACAAUGACGGACCAUGGACAGAAUUAGCAGGUCAAUAGGACAGUUGCAUACUGAACAGUAUAACAAUUCCUAAAUCAUAGCAACAGAAAUGUCAAGUCCUAAGAAGAGACAGGUUGUCUAUUUGGGGUCACCACAGUCUGAAACACUAAAGAUUGAGACAGACUCUGACCAUGAUAUUGUUCUUGCUAAGAACUCACACAGUUUUAAGGUUCUACAGGGGCUUGAUAAGCUGCGACGGGAUGAGUUACUGUGUGACUACACAUUGAUAGCGGACAAUUUAUCAAUAAAGGUGCACAAGGCUGUCAUGGUGUCAGUGAGUGACUACUUCCAUGCAAUGUUUACAGGUACAAUGAAGGAGAGCCAGGAGUCUUCUGUUGAGCUAAAGGGUGUCACUGCAGGUGGUUUGAAGGAACUAGUCACAUUUGCAUACACAGGUCAGUUGAAGAUUAACCUUGAUAAUCUACAAGAAAUUUUGUCAGCUGCUGCCCAUCUCCAGAUAGCAGAGGCAGUGGAGCUUUGUUGCGAUUUUAUGUCAUAUGCAAUAACGACAGAGAACUGUGUCGAUUUACUCAACUUAGCGGAGAUCUACUCAUUAUCUGGGAUACGUGCAAAAGCUAGAGACUAUAUGCUGAAAAAUUUUGAAGAGUUCAGCAAAACGGAGCAAUAUCAACGUUUGAAUCAUAUCCAGUUAGCAGCCAUGCUGGAAGAGAAUUCUCUGAAUGUUGCAGCAGAGUAUAAGCUAUUUCAGCAUGUAUUGGACUGGAUUGACCAUGACCGAAAAGAACGGGAAGUGCAUUUGCCAGUGUUGAUGCAAAAUAUUCGCCUUCCUCUUCUCUCUGGGGAGGAAUUGGUGGAUAAAGUCAGUCAGGUUGACAUAAUGCGUCAGAAUAAAGAAUGUGGCGAUCUUCUCAAUGCAGCGAAAGAUUAUCACAUAGUAGUUGGUAAACAACCACUGAUGCAGUCCAGCAGGACUCAAGUUAGAUCAGCUAAGAAGAGCCUUAUCAUGGUUCACGCUGAAAAUAUAGAGUCAUUUGACCUUGAGACACACAGACACAUCUUCUUGCGUGAUGCCAGCGUGCCACUUUACAACCCAUGUGUCUGUGUGGUUGAUAACUUCAUGUACGCAUGUGGUGGGAAAUACGAUGGAAAUGAAAACAAUGAGAUUGCCACUGCAAGGUGUUUCCGGUAUGACCCAAGAUUUGACUCGUGGUUUGAACUUGCAUCAAUGAAUGAGUCGCGUAAAGACUUUUCAAUGGUUGCCCAUGGUAAGCAGUUAUAUGCAAUAUCGGGACAAGAUGAGAAUAUGGUCAUGUGUACAGUGGAAUGUUUCUUGAUCGAGAAAAAUGACUGGGAGAGUCGGCAAGGAUUAGCUAGUGCAGUGUAUGGCCACGCUAGUGCAAUUUGUAACAAUUUAAUAUAUGUUAGUGGUGGACAAAAAUUUGAUGGUUACACAAAUAGUGUAUCAUGUUAUGAUCCAAACACGGACCAUUGGUCAGAGUGUCCACCCCUAAAAGGAGCACGAGCCAAUCACAUCAUGGAGGAGAUCAUGGACAAACUUUACGUCAUUGGAGGAAACACUGAAGACAGUUAUGGAUUCCCUGUCCCAACUGUCCAAAUUGAGAUGUACGAUCCUAAAAUUGAACAAUGGACACUAUGUAAAAGUUCGAUAAACAUCCGCGAUGCAGGGUCUGCAGUAAUGUCCAACAAGAUAUAUGUGAUAGGAGGUAUUAACGGAGGACAUUAUUACUCAGAUUUAAUCCAAGUGUUUGAUCCGAGGAAAGAUGACGUGAACUGUGAGGAAAGAUUUUCUAAUCAGAUAUAUGGGAGAGCUUGCUGUGUGCUUACAUUACCCCAAUAUGACUACAGCCCAUACACACAAAUGUCCAGUGCUCUUCACCCUUGAA
rnacentral:misc_RNA from 1 species